AAGGUUAUCAUCUCUUUAUCCAGGUAUGCUGACCUCUUGGAAAUAUGAUGAUUUCUUUGAUGUAACUAUCAUGCUUUUUAGGUCUCCAUUUGUUUUAUUGGAGUCAUUAUUUUCUUGUAAACCUAUACUUCAAUGUCAUAGGUUCAGUUCUAAGUUUGAAAAAUGGCAGAAGUGUGGUUGCCUGCUGAUGUGUUUUGAGAACACAAACAAGGAUGGAAGUUUUUCUACAGAAACCUUCAUGGCAUUAGAACUCUCCUUCCUUUGUAGAUUCAAAUUUGAACAGCAAACAUCACCUUGGUUGUGUUCUUUAUGGUAUAUGGAUGCCAAAAAGACAUGCAAUAGUAUAACCUGAUGAGUAUUUGAAAAGAUGUGGCUGUGUGUGAUAGUAGUGUUUGCAGGUGUGGAUUGAUGGUGUCCUUGAGAGUUCUUGGUUGUUUGAGCAAAGGGGCUUAAACAGAAUUAUCUUUCACUGUUAUUAUUUUCAUUGGUCUAAUGUGCAUGAACUUGAUUUAAAUGCAGGAUGCUGUGGAGUACAAGAAA
rnacentral:misc_RNA from 1 species